ACAAAUGACAUUCACAAAAAUGUUGCCUCGGUUUAACGCCGGGUCAAAUAAACUAGCAAACUCUCAAAAGUAAAUUUAAUCUUUAUCCCCGAAACAACACACUGUUGGAUUGUAACUAUCCCACU